rnacentral:rRNA from 1 species
GGAGUUAGCCGGUGCUUCUUCUGUGAGUGAUGUCCUUCCUGCCGGCUAUUAACCCGCAGGCCUUCUUCCUCACUGAAAGUGCUUUACAACCCGAAGGCCUUCUUCACACACGCGGCAUGGCUGGAUCAGGGUUGCCCCCAUUGUCCAAUAUUCCCCACUGCUGCCUCCCGUAGGAGUCUGGGCCGUGUCUCAGUCCCAGUGUGGCUGAUCAUCCUCUCAGACCAGCUACGGAUCGUCGCCUUGGUGAGCCGUUACCUCACCAACCAGCUAAUCCGACAUAGGCUCAUCCGAUAGCGCGAGGCCCGAAGGUCCCCCGCUUUCCCCCGUAGGGCGUAUGCGGUAUUAGCCUGGGUUUCCCCAGGUUAUCCCCCACUACCGGGCAGAUUCCUAUGCAUUACUCACCCGUCCGCCGCUCGCCACCAGGGAGCAAGCUCCCCGUGCUGCCGCUCGACUUGCAUGUGUUAGGCCUGCCGCCACGCGUCAUCUGAGCAGAACUACAACUACUGA